AACCUCAGACAUACUGAAUUUUCAAUCUGCUUGCCACAAAGAAUGAUGCUGUCUUUCUGGGUGAGCUUUCAGAGAACUUAUCACAUCAUACGGUAAAAGACAGUUUCCAGUUUAUUUUGUUUGCUUUCAGUGGCCUAACGUACACUUUAGUUUUUGUUUCAUUUCUCUUACAAACAUUUUUGUUUGUUUGUUUGCCAUGUAGAGGGUAGGGCCUUUAAGGGAGAGAAAGGUACUUGAAGGAUUAGGACAUUUCAAAUUACUGAAAGUUGUGUCAAAGUAGAGACUGUAGAAAAAACAACAAGUAGAAUAAUCAUCAAGUGAUCUAACACAAACAGACAUUAUCUAAUACAAAUAUAGGGAGGAGUUCACAACUGUUAAGUCCAUUAUUUGCUUCUUACUAGUUCAGUAGAUGUUCUGUAGCUUUUAAAAAUAUUGCUGUGCAAUUCAUCAUUCAGCUCUAUUUUUUCAGCAGAAGUUUUUAAAAAGUAUUGCAAAAUAAAAGAUUAACUUAAAAUAAAUUAUAGUUUUAUUAUAACAGUGGUCUGCGAUGAAAAAUGCAAGUAUAAAAUAAAUUCUAAUGUCAUGUCAAGAAUAGCAGCCACAGUCAGGCAGCUCCUCUAAACACAUUAAAUCUAA
rnacentral:lncRNA from 1 species